rnacentral:piRNA from 1 species
UGAAGUCAAGGCGUCGGCUGGGCUGC